AACGAACGCUGGCGGCAUGCCUAACACAUGCAAGUCGAACGAGACCUUCGGGUCUAGUGGCGCACGGGUGCGUAACGCGUGGGAACCUGCCCUUAGGUUCGGAAUAACUCCCCGAAAGGGGUGCUAAUACCGGAUAAUGUCUUCGGACCAAAGAUUUAUCGCCUUUGGAUGGGCCCGCGUUGGAUUAGCUAGUUGGUAGGGUAAAAGCCUACCAAGGCGACGAUCCAUAGCUGGUCUGAGAGGAUGAUCAGCCACACUGGGACUGAGACACGGCCCAGACUCAUACGGGAGGCAGAAGUGGGGAAUAUUGGAAAAUGGGCGAAAGCCUGAUCCAGCAAUGCCGCGUGAGUGAUGAAGGCCUUAGGGUUGUAAAGCUCUUUUACCCGGGAUGAUAAUGACAGUACCGGGAGAAUAAGCUCCGGCUAACUCCGUG
rnacentral:rRNA from 1 species